rnacentral:rRNA from 1 species
AUCCGCUUCGCGGCUGGCGAAUUUGUGGAACCUGCGGAAGGAUCAUUA